AGACCCACCGGCAGACAGGCGGACCGGGCGCUCGGCUGUCGCUGUUCUCCGCGCGGCGGCUGCGGGGCUUCUGACUUGGAGAACAAUGAAGCGUGAGCUGGAGGGGAGCGAGCGGGCCGCCGGGAGCGCACUGUGUACAAACAGAGGCGGCGUGCGUGUGAGUCUGAGCCUGGCAGGCGCGCUCCCCACUCCCCCGGCGCCCGCCCGCCCUCCGCCCGCCCUGUUAUUCACUCCCCGGGUCUCCCCCUCCUCUCUCUCUCUUUUGCUCUCUCUCUCUGUCUCUCUUUUGCUCUCUCUCUCCUUCCUCCCUCCUCCCCUCCUCUUUCAGCUCCUUCUGCUAUAAGAGAAAAGGGAGACAACUGCAGCCACACCCUAGCACCUAGCACCUGCCACCACCUCUGAAGUUCCUGCAUUGCCUGUACCUUCUCCGCACAUGCUGGAGACUGUGGGGUUAAGAGCUGCACCCUUGCUGCCUGAGAGUCCCUUGGAUUCCAGCACUGACUUUAUAAUUAACCACGUUAAGGAUUCCCCUGAACUUCCUUUCUCAGUAUAACCAGGAACAGAAGUUAAGAGAUUUUGAAAAGUGACUCUUGGGGCACAAAACUGCAUGAGAGACAGAACCCUGCAAAGUGAAUUGCCCCGUAUUUCUCAGGAACUGCAACGUAGUCAGCAACCAGACCCUAAUCAGCUAAGACAGGGCUGCUCUGCUGCUCUGUCUACAAUUUAGUUAGCUCCAGGGCUGGGGAGAGAGGGUUGUGGGCUCAUCUGUUCACGGGGGCAAAAGGGUGGAAGUGAGUAGGAGACAUGCAUCUCGUUAAGCAGGACAUCUGUUUCAGAGAAGAAGUGGGGCAAGUUUGGGAACUGUGCAAGAACAUAAAGGCAAAGACAGACCCUUGAAGCAUCACUAAGGUGGAUCAAAUUUUCUUUCUAUCCGCCAAAAUAAAUGGACUGGUUUUUGCAGUGGAAGUGAUUGAACCAAAAAUACAGCUCAUGGCUUACAAUUGUGCUUUCUUCUCUGUUUUUCGGUUAGAAUGAUUGCUUAUUGUACAUGGAUCCAAUUCCAGCAGUUACAGAGAGGGAGGUAGGGAGAGAGACAAACACAGAGCUAGAGAAAUUGAAAGAGAAACAUUCUCGAAGGCAAAGAGUUGAAAGGUGAAUCUACUAAGAAAAGAAUAACAGAGUGCAAUUAGCCAUGGAACUACAUCUCCAUCUGCCUCCUUUAAAGGAUGAGUCCUUUAAAGAGCCUUUGGAAGGAAUUGGGCCAUGAGAAGAGCCCUCAUGAAUGGGAUUAGUUCCCUUAUAAGAAGAGACACCAAGGAAGUGAUCUUUCUCUGCCCUCUGCUAUGUGAAGACAAGGUCAUCUGCAGUUUUUUGUUGUUGUUGAUGAUCUUCCUGUCAUAGACAAUGCUGUAACAAACAGACUAGAGAUAAUAAGCUCACUUUACCUCAGGACCUUUGCAGCAGCUCUGCCCUGUGCUUAGAUUGAUCUGUCACGAAACCUUAAAGUCUGGCUGAUUCUCAUUCUUCAGAUUCCAGGGCAAGUGCUAAGUCCUAAGUGCUAAGUGGUUACAAGGGACCCCAGAAUCAUGCUGGAGGUGAAACAGUGACAGAACGGGCACUUCCAGUAAGAAACUGAAGACUGGCUGCACAUCAAUUCACUCAGCGACUGGAGGUAGAGCUUUUGGAAACAGACUCUAUGACUACAUGCAGAAACGCUAGCAAUUGUUUCAUCUGGGUCCUAUAGAAGACUGUGACCUUCUGGGGAGGAUCUGUCAAUUCACUGAUGUUAGAAAAGUAACCAGCUUUAACUCAGGGCAGACUGACUUGGAAUAAUGUAAAACCAAACCAGGAUAUCAUAAGUUAUGGAAUCAUUCUUGAAAAACAAAAAGAGUUUUGCCUGUAAAUGAAAAUUCAGAAAUAUCAGAGGAAAUAACAAAAACCAGUCAGGGAAGCAUGGCUUUGCAAAUGCUUCAGAAGAAUUGUAAUAUUAGGUACUAUCUGCCUUUAAGAAAAUAGAAGCAGCUGGUGUGGUGGCUCAUGCCUGUAAUCCCAGCACUUUGGGAGGCCAAGGUAGGUGGAUCACCUGAGGUUAGGAGUUCGAGACCAGCCCGGCCAACAUGGUGAAACACCGUCUCUACUAAAACUACAAAAAUUAGCUGGGUGUGGUGGCACACGCCUGUAAUCCUAGCUACUCAGGAGGCUGAGGCAGGAGAAUUACUUGAACCCGGGAGGUGGAGUUGCAGUGACCCGAGAUCAUGCCACUGCAUUCCAGCCUGGGAGACAGAGCGAGACUCUGUCCAAAAAAAAAGAAAAGAAAAGAAAAGAAAAUAGAAGCUAGGACCAGUUAUGGUGGCUCAUGCCUGUAAUCCUAGUGGUUUGGGAGGCCAAGGUGGGAGAACGGCUUGAGGCCAGGAAUUCCUGAUCAGCCUGAUCAAUGUAGUGAGACUCCAUCUCUACAAAAACAAAAACAACAACAACAAAAAAGUAGCUGGUCAUGGUAGUGACACGUAUCUGUCGUCCUAGCUACUCAGGAGGCUGAAAUGGGAGGAUUGCUUAAGCCCAGGAGUUUGAGGCUGCAGCUAGCUAUGAUUGAUUGCUCCACUGCAGUCCAGCCUGGUUGACAGAGCUGUAAAGAAAAGAAAAGAAAAGAAAAGAAAAGAAAAGAAAAGAAAAGAAAAGAAAAGAAAAGAAAAGAAAAGAAAAGAAAAGAAAAGAAAAGAAGAAAAGAAAAGAAAAGAGAAGAGAAGAGAAGAGAAGAGAAGAGAAAAGAAAAGAAAGGAAAGGAGAGAAAGAGAAAGAGAAAGAGAAAGGAAAUGUAAAAAGUAAAGUUGAGGUUCCUCUUCAAAGACUUUCCUCCCCAUCUAAUUAGGAAUAAAUAGUAACUUCUCUUAGAAGCAAAAUUUAUUCAAAGACUUGUGCUAAUAUUCUUAAAUAUCUGCUAGCUGUAAUAAAGAAAUCAAUGUACUUUAUGUUCUUACCUCCCACAAUUUAGCCUAAAUAUUUGCCCUAGCAUGCUUAUACUAGUCCAAGCAAGCAUUAGGUCAUAGCCUGUUCCUCUUCCUUAUUUGAAGGUCUUUUUACCUUUCUCAGCAUUCCACAAGUUACUUCCUCCUUCCUUUGUUCUCCUCUGCCUUUGCCUCUUUUAAAAAGUUCUAAGUUGCUAGCCAAUCAGGACAAAUACAGAAUGUGAGGUCUCAUUCCAGCCAAUAGAAACCGGACACAGCAGUAAGGUAGACACGUCAAGUUAUAAAUGACCCUGUCUCCUUUGUUCAGUGUACUCUCAUGGCAAAACUGCUGGUGAGUGUACCCUUUCUGCAGAAAGUAAAAAAAUGGCCUUGUUGAGAAAAUUAAAUUUAUAUUCAAGUGCUAUAUAUUUACGGCAUCAAAGAGCAAGCAUUUCUAACAGGAAGGAAAGAAAGGAGGGAGGGAGGAAGGGAGGGAGAGAGGGAGGGAAAGCUAAAUUUUGUGGUUUGUUUAGUCUAUGGAAACAAUAGCCAUCAAAAUAUAUUUUGACAAAACAUGGGCACGAAUUUUUGAUUGGAGAGAAGGGGUUUACAAAAGAGGAAAAGAAAGAAAAUGUCCCAUUGGCAAGUAUUUUCUAAAGAUCUGUAAGAUGUUAGAAGAUGGAACAGAAGGUUGAAGAGCAAAAAGCAUUAUCAGGUCAUUGGGGCUGACCCAAGUAAGUUGCUGAGAGAGAAAGAGAGUCACUUUGCAAAUGAAUGCUUGGUGGUUGAAUCUAUCAAAAGACAAUGGUGAAGAGCAUUAUGUGAAGAUUCAGGAGGCAAACAGGAACCAAAUUAUCCUUAUAAUGACCCCCAUAGUCAAUAUAUAUAGCCACUCUAAUUAUUACUCUGAGACCCAGCCUUCAUUUGAAUGAAUUACCAGUUGUUGGUCUGUAAGAAAGACACCUGUCCUUCCAGCAGUAGUGUGUAAAAAUUAGGCUUCACCAGAAGCUAGCAUCUUCUCUGGUCAAGCAACAAAUGCUAAACAUAUUUUUGCUAUACAUGUAUCUAUCAUAUGUUAAAGAAGAAGAAAAAAAAAAGCCACUCAGUUUGUGGUAACUUUCUGUAGCAGUUCCAGAAAACUAACACAAUGGCUUACAAAUAUUCUCUCUCAUGACUUGCUGCAUCAAAUUAGCUCACUUGGUGGAUCUUUCUUGUGGUUUUUUUCAUGAGAUUACAUUCAGAUUGGCUGAACUUAAUUUUUAAAAAUAUAUAUAUUUUUAUUUUUAUGACUACAUAACAAUUGUACAUGUUUAUGGGGCACAUGUGAUAUUUUGAUACAUGCAUACAAAGUGUAAUGAUCAAAUCAGGGUAAUUUAGAUAUUAAUCACCUCAGACAUUUAUCAUUUCUUUGUGUUAGAAGAAUUCUAAUUCCUCUCCCGUAGUUAUUUUGAAAUAUACAAUAUAUUAUUGUUAACUACAGCCGCUCUGUUGUAACUCCAAACACUAGAUCUUAUUUUUUCUAUUUAAUUGUAUUUUUUUUUUUACCCAUUAACCAACCUCUCUUUAUAUCCCCUCCUGAUAUGGUUUGGCUCUGUGUCUCCACCCAAACCUCAUGUUGAAUUGUAAUCCCCAGUGUUGGGGGAGGGACCUGGUGGGAGGUGAUUGUAUCAUGCGGGCAGAUUUCCCCUUUGCUGUUCUCGUGGUAGUGAGUUCUCUAGAGAUCUGGUUGUUUGAAAGUGUGUAGCAUUUCCCCUUUUACACUCUCUAUCUCCUGCUGGCCAUGUGCUUUCCUCUCCUUCACCUUCUGACAUCAUUGUAAGUUUCCUGAGGCCUCCACAGGCAUGCUUCCUCUAUAAUCUGCAGAAUCUUGAGCCAAAAACCUCUUUUCUUUAUAAAUUAUCCAGUCUCAGGUAGUUCUUUAUUGCAAUGUGAGAACAGUCUAACAUACCUCUUCACUAUACUUCUCAGCCUCUGGUAACCAUCAUUCUAUUCUCUCCCUUUAUGAAAUCAAUUUUGUUUUGCUCCUAUAUAUGAGUGAGAUCAUGCAAUAUUUGUCUUUCUGAGCCUGACUUAUUUACUUAACAUAAUUUUUCCAGUUCCAUCCACAUGGUUGCCAAUGACAGGAUCUCAUCUUUUUUCCUGGCUAAAUAGUAUUCCAUUGUGUAUAUGUACCACAUUUUCUUUAUCCAUUCAUCCUUGAUAGACCCUUAGAUUGAUCCUAAAUCUUGGUUAUUGUGAAUAGUCUCCAAUAAAUAUGGGAGAGCAGCUAUCUCUGUGAUACACUGAUUUUCUUUCUUUUGGAUAUAUACCUAGCAGUGGGAUUGCUAUAUCAUAUAGUAGUUCUAUUUUUAGUUUUUUGAAGAAUCUUCAUACUAUUUUCCAUAGUGGUUGUACUACUUUACAUUCCUCCUAAUAGAGUAAGAGCCUUCCCCUUUCUUAGCAUCCUUGGGUUGGGCUGUAUUUCCAAAGUAUUGACUGGACUGAACUCUAUGAAAGCUAACAAACAUGGCUGAUCAUUGAUACUGGCUAUUGGCUGGGAACUCAGCUACAGCUAUGGGCUGGACCAUCUCCACCUGGCUUGUGCAUUUCACAGUAUGGCAGCUGAAUUCCAGGAGGGAGCACCCUAAGUGGAUCCUGAGAGUGAGCAUUCCAAGAGGCCUGAAGUGAUGCCACAGUACUCCUUAUGACUUAGCCUGAGAAUUCCCAUACACAAUUUCUAUUGUACUGUAUUGGCCAGGAAGAUCAGUAGCCGUUCCAACUCAAAGAUAAAUUAAUUAGUCUCUACCUCUCAAUAGGAGAAGGAAAAGUAUUUGUGGCCAGCUUUAAUCUACCAUAUCAGGUUACACUUUUUAAUUUAAAAAAUUUCUUAACAACAUUGACUAAUUUCAAAUAUGUGAGCUUAGUCAGUUUCUUUAAGAAUAGUCCGCACCGUAAAACCUGUUCAAGGAAUGUGGCUCCUUGAUUUUUUUUUAUAGAAAUGCUAUGUUAAAAUGUUCCUUCAAAGCUUAACACAUAGUCUUCAGUUCUUCACUUCUGCGAAAUUCCUAUGUAAACAUUAGUACAUAGUUGGUGUCCCUCCUCUUUCAUUAAUCUUUUCCUUUUUCUUUUAUCUUAAUUUUUAUCCCUUUUCUGAAUUCUUCUUAUUUUAUUCUUGUCCAUCCACAUCCUCAAUGUGUGUGUGUGUGCGUGUGUGCGCACACACACAUGCUGGUGAGGGGAUCCCAUAUGAGACUGAGAACUGGUUUAGAUGUGGCAACUGGGUGAAGGGAUGCAAUGGUUUCAUUGCAACAGCUGGCAUCAGCCUUCUGCUUGGUCGUGAUUUCUUCUGACUGUGUAAAUGCAGUAACACACUAUGUGACUCUCCAUCUAUCUCACCCCUCAGCACAACUUGACCCAUUGCUAUACACACUUGCAGGUUGACAUGCUCUAAUUGUCACAUUAAUCUUAUCUCCCAUGGAUGGAAUUACAUUGGAAUUACACUGAUCUUCUGGUUUAUAGUUAAUGCAUUUCCAUCUAGUCUCUCCCACUCUGCUUUACCAUUAGCCUCUGAUAUUUGAUGGCAGCAGCCCUGCAUCACUGCCAUCCUCCAAAGGACAGAUUCUACUGAGCAUCUAGAUGCUGGCACCACCAUCACUAGUGUGUUUCUCAUUUCCUCAGAGAAGGCUGUGUCCUCUAGGAACUCCUAAAGAACAUAGUGAAGUAAUGGCUUCCCAGGCCAAACAAAAUUUCAUUCUAAUGUUCCCAUGACCUAGACUUUUCUAAUGAGAAGGAAAAAGAAUGUAAAAAGGAAAGGAGAAAAAUAUAGGGUGAUAAAACUAUAAAGUGAGUAAAAAUAUGUAAUAUAUAGGUGUAAUCUAAGAGCAACUUUAGAUUGGAUGAUCAGGUAAGGACCUCUGAUGAAAUAUUUAAUCUGAGAACAAUGAAAUAAAAGGGUUAAUCAUUUAGUCAAUAAAAGAAAGUUUUAGGAAUAAUUUUUUUAAUAUAUUCAGCUCAGAUCUCUUUUUGAAUCUUCAACUUUUAUGUUUCCAAUUCCUUCUAAAUUUCUCUACAAUGACCUCAAAAUUAGCCAAACUGAAUUGUAGUUAUGGAAACAAUCUGAAUCAAUAGUACCUUCUUCCCCCACUUAUCACAUUGUUAAUUGUAUUGGUUUCCUCUGUCUAUUAUAAUAAGUUACCACAAAUUGGUGGCUGAAACCAAAAGACAAUUAUUCUGUAAUAGUUCUGGAGGUUGAAAUCAAGGUAUUGUCAGGGUUGGUUCCUUCUGGAGGCUCUGAGGGUGAAUCUAUUUCAGGCCUCUCUCCUAGUUUCUAGUGGUUGCCAGCAAUCCUUGCUAUUUUUUGGCUUGUAGCUGCAUCAUCCCAAUCUCUGUCCCCAUCUUCACACUUUCCUCUGUGUGUGUCUUUGUAAGUACCCUCUUAUUCUUCAAAGUUACCAGCUAAUGGAUGUAGCGUCCACCCUAAUGCAGUAUGACAUCUUCUUUACUUGCUUACAUCUGCAAAGACCCUAUUUCUGAAUAAGGAUACAUUCACAAAUUUCAGAGAUUAGGGCUUGAACAUAUCUUUUGGGGGCACACAAGUCAGCUCAACACACUUGCAAUGUUGUAUUCCCAAUGUUCAUGCUGGUACACCUAUCCUAGUCUAUCACUCUCCACACCCAAUUGCAAAGUACUGUUAAUUCAGCAUUUUUAGCAUUUCUUGAAUGUAUCUAAUUCUGUUCAUACCUUGUUAUAUUACUUUAACUUAGACACUCAUUAUCUUUAGAGCCUUCUAAAAGGGCCUUAAAAUGUGUGUCUCUGCUUCUAAUAUUGCCUUCUCCCAUAUAUAUACACUUUUUUUCUAAGUAUGUUUUAUAGCCAGAAUAUUUAAAAAUCCAAAUAUAUAAAAUUUACUUGUAUCAUCUCAAACCCUCCCUAAAAACCAUUUAAAGACUCUCCUUUGCCAUCAGUUAAAAAGUAUAAGCAAGUAAAAGCAAAUAAGCAAAAACAAAAACAGAAAAUUUUUUAAAUAUGAUUUUCAACGUUUUCAGUCCACAAUUAAAAACUCUGCUUUUGAAUUGAGGAAGAACGUCAUUUGACUCCACUUCUUAUGCACACUAUAUUACAGGUUGUUGCUUACUUUCUGAAUUUCAUUUUUCUAACUUGUUAAAUGGGGCUAAUAUAAUUGAUUAAGUUGAAUUAUAGGAUUAUUAUGAAGAAAAAGUGCUAAGCACAAUUCCUGGCACAUAGUGAAAAUCCAAUAGACAGAAUUACUUUCUGCUAUCUUUACAGGUCCAUCUCUAACCUUAUCUCAUACCAAUCUCAUCUUUCUCUUUGUAUGGUUGCUUCUUUUGCAGAAUGUCUUGUAUUUCCUACAUUAUGAUCUUUACUCUUUUACUUCUUGGCUUUUACACUUGACUUGAAAAGCUGUUUAAUUUCCUGCCCUUAACAUGUUAAUUUCUUCAUGCAUUUUUUAAUCCUGUUGGAUACAGACAUCUGCUAUAUCAGGAACCUGAGUUUGACUUUUUAGUCUUAAUUCAGGUCUCCCCUUUGUGCGCACUCCUCUCCCAGCAUUUAUCAAUGUCAAGUGCAGCUAUCAUUCUCUAUUUCUUUAUGCUUCAAUGUGCUAUCAGCUAUUUGUGAGAAGGGACCACAUUUUAUGUCUCGUUAUUGCCAGAACUGAUCCUAGUGCUCCAUGUCUUGGAAUGUAUGAAAAAAAAAUGAAAGAAAGUUUUUUUGUGAGAUUAUCUAUCCCUAUCCCUGGGAUGAGAAUAAAUUUAUUUAUUUAGAAUUACACGCCAGGAGAGCACUGAUAUCAUCUAUUGAGUUUCUUUUUUUCUUUUUUUUUCUGUAUCUCCAAUUUUAAAAUAGGAGCUGACUAGUCAUAGAAAAUAGUGAAUGUUCAGUAAAUACUUGUUGAUUUUUUGAAUGGGUGAAAUAACUGAUGCACUAUUUAUUGGCAAAAAUUGAAAGGUAUUUACCAAAAAUUUCAUUCUGGCUCUAAACAGUAAGCAAGCAUAGUCCAAACCCAGGAAGAAAGAUGAAUAAUUAUUUUGACAAAUAAGGUCUAUUACCUGGCAUAAUGUACAAACACUUGUUUGGCAGCCAGGAGACCUGGCAUCUAAUCUCUCUAAGUGGCUGUAUAGUUAAACCCUUGGAAUAAGUUAAUUCAUUUUUGCUAGGCCUCAGUUUUCUCUACUGAGAAGUGAUGGCCUUGGAUUAUCAUCUCUAAGGUCUUUUCUAUGUCUAUUUUUUUUUUAAAGUUUUAGAUAAGCAAGUCAUCUGUAGGUAAUCUAAGACUCUAUGGCAUUUGCUGUGAGGGGAAUUGACCUGUAUAGCCCUUGUAUUAAAAAUAAAUCUUGGCCAGGCAUGAGCCAUGGCGCCCAGCAACUUAGGCCGUUUUUUACCAUUCACUCUUCUGCAGGUGAGGACACAGCAAGAAGGCUCCCAUCAGACACUGAUUGCUGGUCCCUUGACCUUGGUCUUAGCCUCUGGAACUAUGAGAAAAUAAAUUUCUGUUAUUCAUAAAUUAUCCAGUCUGAUAUUUUUGUUUUAUUUAUAGUAGCACAAAUGGGCUAAAACAACCUAUCAACAGCAUUUGGCAGAGCAUAACACGUUCUCUCAUUUGAAAUAUAUUUUACUUGCACAUAUGAUAUCAUAUUCUCAUGAUUUUAUUCCUGCCUUACUGAGCAUUACUUCUCAGAAUCCUUUGCUAUGUUUUGCUCAUAUUCCCAGACUCUGAUUAUUGGUACCACAAUGUCCAGUUCUCAAUCUUUUAUCUUUUACUUUAUAAAUUCAUUUCCUUGGUUAUCUCAUCUAGUCUCAUGGCUUUAAAUACCAUUAAUUUGCUGACCAGAGAUACAGACCAGACAAGACGAUUACAUCUACAACUCAUAGAUACCUUCAGGCUCAUAUAUGUAACUGUCUACCUAUCCUCUUAAAUAUCUCAUAAGUAUAUCCAAAAUUGAAGUCCUGCUUUCUCUCCAUGUCACAUCUGCUCCAUAUAUAUUAUGUUUCCUUUCGCUAAUUGGUUACUUCAUCCUUCCAGUUGCUUAGGUCACAACCUUUGAAAUCAUUCUUAAUUUCCAUUUUCCUCUUACACCCCACAUUCCUUCAAGUCAAAGCUUUACUGGGUUUUCAUUAUAAAUAUAUCCAUAAUGUAACUACUUCUUAUCACAUUCAUAGUUACCAUUGUGUUCUGACUCACCAUUGUCCUUCACCUUAAUUAUUACAGUAGCCUCCAAACCAGCCUCCCUUAUUUACCCCUGAAGUCUAUCUUUGACCAAGCAGAAUGAUCCUUAAUCAUAUCUUGUGACACCUUCAUUCACACCCUACAACAGUUUUUCUUUUUACUUAGAAGAAAAGCCAAAGUCCUUUCAAGGUGUUGUGAGGUCUUACUCAAUCUGCUGCCCCACCUCCUCCAUAUCCCUUUGAUACAGUUUGGUUUUGUGUCCCCACCCAAAUCUCGAAUUGCAAUCCUCAUAGGUCAAGGAAGGGGCCUGGUGGGAGGUGAUUGGAUUAUGGGGGCAGUUUCCCCCAUGGGUGCUCUCAUGAUAGUGAAUGAGUUCUCACAAGAUCUGAUGAUUUUAAAAAGUGUUUGGCAGUUCCCCUCUGUGUUCUUCUCUCUUGCUUACUGCCAAGUAAGACAUACCUGGCUUCCCCUUUGCCUUCUGCCGUGAUUGUAAGUUUCCUGAGGCCUUCCCAGCCAUGUGGAACUGUGAGUCAAUUAAAUCUCCCUUCUUUAUAAAUUAUCCAGUCUCAGGUACUGUCUUUAUAGCAGUGUGAAAAUGUACUAAUACACCCUGUAUCUUCUGUGAAUGCACUUCCUUAUCUUCUUGCCCUUACUCACUCUGUGCCAGCCCUACUGUGCUACCUGCUAUUCUUAGAACACUAAGAGCAUUCUAAACAUGCUUCUGCCUCAGAGACUUUGUAUUUACAUUCUCUCUUUCUGGAAUGUUCUUCUAUUAUCUGGCAUAGCUUGCUCAAUUAACUCAAGUAUCACCUUCUCAGAUAGAUAGGGUUUCCUUAACAAUCCCACUUAAAAUUUUGCCCCCCUCUUAGAACUCCUCCCUGUUUUCUGCUAUAUUUUUCUGUGUUACACUUACCACUUCCCAAUAUAAAAAUAUCAUUUAUGAAAUAGCAUAUUUAUAAAUAAUUUAUAAUGUAAUGUAUAAUAUAAUUAACUCUUGAAUUUUUAAACUUUCUUCUUUCACCAAAUGUCUCUGAGUUUCCCAGAAGGAGGGCUAUAUCUUUGUCUUUACCUUUAGGCCCUCAGUUCAUAAAACAAAGAUUAAUGCAUAGUAGGUGCUUGCACUAGUAGGAUUCUAUAAUAUCCCCUAUAAUUUCCAACCCCUGAUGUACACACAUCUUAUCCCAGUUAUUCAAUCAAAGAAUAAUCUAAGUACUGAUGUGAAAGGACUUUGCAGAUGUAAAUUAAGGUCACAAAUCACUUGCAAUUAGUCAAGAUGAUCCGGGUUGGCCUGAUCUAAUCACAUGACAAGUCAGAGACACAGGAAGUCAGAGAAAUUUAAAACAUGAGGGAUUUGACAUGAGGGGCUCUGUCUGUUGUUGGCUUGGAGAUGGUUGGGGCCAUGUGACAAGGAAUGGGAGCGGCUUCUAGGAGCUGAGAGAGACCCUUGGGUGACAGCCAGCCAGGAAAUGAAGAACUUAAUCCUACAACAGGAAGGAACUGAAUUCUACCAAUUUUGAUAAGAAUCUUCCAAAUACUUCCCUGGAGCCGGAGAAGUCAGCCAGGUUGACACUUUGAUUUCAGCCUCUGAAACCCUGAGCUGAGAAUCCAGGUAGACUUUGCCUGGACUUCUGAUCUAGAGAACUGUGAGCUAAUGGCAUUAUUUUAAGCCACUGUGAUUGUGGUAAUUUGUUAAAUAGCAACAGAAAACUAAUACAGAAGUCGGUAAAUAUGUGUUGAAUUAAUAACAUUAUAUUUUAUCACUGCAAUCCUUCCAAAAUAAUUGGUAUUUUUAUUAUAACAUAAAUGCUGAUUUUAUUUUAAAUAAAAG
rnacentral:lncRNA from 1 species